AUUCUAUGGCUAAUACAUGCGCAAAUAUCUUUUUUCGCAAGAAAGAGGAUAGUGUUUAUUAGAUACAGAACCAAUACACCAUCUGUUAACAGCAGGUGGUGUAAAAAAGGUGAUUCAUAGUAACCGAACGGAUCGCAUUAUGGUCAUUUUAUAUGGCUGGCGAUAGAUCAUUCAAGUUUCUGACCUAUCAGCUUUCGACGGUAGUGUAUUGGACUACCGUGGCAGUGACGGGUAACGGGGAAUUAGGGUUCGAUUCCGGAGAGGGAGCCUGAGAAACGGCUACCACAUCUAAGGAAGGCAGCAGGCGCGCAAAUUACCCAAUCCUGACUCAGGGAGGUAGUGACAAGAAAUAACAACACUGGAAAUUUUAUUUCUAGUGAUUGGAAUGAUGGGAAUUUAAACCCCUUUCAGAGUAACAAUUGGAGGGCAAGUCUGGUGCCAGCAGCCGCGGUAAUUCCAGCUCCAAUAGCGUAUAUUAAAGUUGUUGCAGUUAAAAAGCUCGUAGUUGGAUGUCUGCUGGAAGCAAUCAGUCCGCCCUAUUUGUAGGGUGUGCACUUG
rnacentral:rRNA from 1 species